rnacentral:rRNA from 1 species
CAGUAGCCGCGGUAAUACGUAGGUGGCAAGCGUUGUCCGGAAUUAUUGGGCGUAAAGGGCUCGCAGGCGGUUUCUUAAGUCUGAUGUGAAAGCCCCCGGCUCAACCGGGGAGGGUCAUUGGAAACUGGGAAACUUGAGUGCAGAAGAGGAGAGUGGAAUUCCACGUGUAGCGGUGAAAUGCGUAGAUAUGUGGAGGAACACCAGUGGCGAAGGCGACUCUCUGGUCUGUAACUGACGCUGAGGAGCGAAAGCGUGGGGAGCGAACAGGAUUAGAUACCCGGGUAGUCCCUGUCUCUUAUAC